rnacentral:rRNA from 1 species
CCUACGGGAGGCAGCAGUGGGGAAUAUUGUACAAUGGACGCAAGUCUGAUACAGCAAUGCCGCGUGAGUGAAGAAGGCCUUAGGGUCGUAAAGCUCUUUCGCCAGGGAUGAUAAUGACAGUACCUGGUAAAGAAACCCCGGCUAACUCCGUGCCAGCAGCCGCGGUAA